AAGUUUUGCCGAGGACCUCCUCCUCCCAAUCCUCGGCGAAUAGGAGCCUGCAACUCCUCCUCCCAAAUGCAGGCUUCACUCAAACGACACCCGCCGGUUCCUCCCACCGGCGGGUGUUGUCG
rnacentral:sRNA from 1 species